CUAUGGGAAUGAAAUAUAGACCACUAUGUGGCCAUGUUAGAAUCUGCAAUGAGCAUUUCACAAAAGAUAGAUUUGUGCCGUGUACCUCAGUUUUACGUUUGAAAGCUGAUGCAGUGCCCACAAUUCUGGAAGUCCAGAAUAUUAAUUAGGUUUGUAUUUUACAAUGAAAAUAAUAAUUUUAGGGACUGGACCAGAUAGCAAAUAAAAAAGUAAACAUUAUAUCCCAAUAUAUAAUAAAGCCAGAACCACAGACUCUUUUGGAUACCAAAUCAUUAAGUAAUGCAAACAGUGAAGUUACUGAACAUGAGAAAACAAAUUCCUCGCAGUCACCAUCCCAACGGACUGUCACACCAAUUUCAAGUACAGUUAGAUGUAGAAGGACUCUUUUUAAGGACGUUGAAGGCUUGUGUUCAACACAGAUAACACCAAGAAAGCAAAAGUUGAUGGUUAUUGUGAAGAGGAAGCAGGGUCGCAUAAGAAAAUUACAAAAA